UCUUUGGUUUUAUUAUCUAUCUAUCUAUCUAUCUAUCUAUCUAUCUAUCUAUCUAUCUAUCUAUCCAUACAUCUAAUCUUUGGUUUUAUAGUUACUUAUGUUGCCUCAAAAAUGCCUGAACCCAUCUUUAAAAGUCUAAUCGGCAAUCGGGAAAGGAAAACACAAGACAUCCUGUUCUGAAAAGUGGCAUGUCUGCCCCUAGAUCCUUAAAGGCAGCACGGGUAGGAGAGAAACUGUCACCCAGGAAUGCUGGAUCCACCAAUGAUCCCUUACCACCCACAAGGAUUCUGAUUCAAGUGGUCCGAGAUGGAACUCUGGAAUUGGCAGUUUUUACAAGCUUAAGAUGAUUUUUCGCAAAGUGACCUUAAUGUUUAGCCAGUACUGUCCCAGCCUCCUAGAACUGAAACAUGCUAAUGGCAGCCGAACCACACCUUUGGGCUCAUCACCACUUUGGUUCUGAUGUUAGUGAUGGCAUCUGUGCCCUGUUCGCUUCUCCCAAUAGUAAGCUGGGAGAGGGGAUGCCAGGAACAUCUCCGUCCCCUUAGAAUGCUGAGGUAUGACGAGUGCGGCUGAGUUCUAAAGGUUGGCCUUUAAUGUAAGACACAGCACUGUGUCCCCAUCCUGAACCCCAAGAAUGGCUACGUUUAUUGCGUGCCUGGCACGUUCUGCUUUACAUCUCUCAGCAUCUUAGCAGGUUGAUAUCAUAUCCAUUUGACAAAUGAGCUACUGGGGACCUGAGGGAGCUAAGUCACAACCCGGAAGGCGCUGGACCUUCGCCCUGAAGACCCAACUGCCCAGAAGCUUUCAAUUUCCCAAAGGUCACACAGCUUCCAAGGCUAAACCCGCACCGCUAUGGGUGCCUGAGCUCCAGCUACAAAGUUCCGCCCUUACGCACUUUGGUUCCGCCCUUGAUCGCAUCAGGGAUUGGUCCGGAGCCCCGCCCAGCCCUAUAUUGGUCAGUGUAAGGCCCGCCCCGCGCCCCGCCCCCGCUGGAACACGUGGAUGUCCCCACUAGGAAGGGAAAGGUUUCAGCAAUGGCGGGGGCCCGGAAGUUGGGGCUGGCAGAGGCCUUAGCUCUGGGGCCUGGCUGGCGGCAUGCCUGUCACGCGCUGCUUUACGCGCCCGAUCCGGGGACGC
rnacentral:lncRNA from 1 species